GACGUAGGGGGCCAGCGUUGCUUGGAAUUACUGGGUGUAAAGGGUUCGUAGGCGGUGUGGCAAGUCGGGAGUGAAAUCUCUGGGCUCAACCCAGAGGCUGCUUCCGAAACUGCCGUGCUUGAGUGUGGGAGAGGCGCGUGGAAUUGCAGGUGUAGCGGUGAAAUUCGUAGAUAUUCGCAAGAACACCAGUGGCGAAGGCGGCUCACUGGCCCGGUACUGACGCUGAGGUGCGAAAGCGUGGGGAGCAAACAGG
rnacentral:rRNA from 1 species